AUUGAACGCUGGCGGCAGGCCUAACACAUGCAAGUCGAACGAGUGGCGGACGGGUGCGUAAUGUCUGGGAAACUGCCCGAUGGAGGGGGAUAACUACUGGAAACUGUAGCUAAUACCGCAUACCAUCAGAUGUGCCCAGAUGGGAUUAGCUAGUAGGUGGGGUAACGGCUCACCUAGUCGACGAUCCCUAGCUGGUCUGAGAUGAUGAACAGCCACACUGGAACUAAGACACGGUCCAGACUCCAACGGGAGGCAGCAGUGGGGAAUAUUGGACAAUGGGCGCAAGCCUGAUGCAGCCAUGCCGCGUGUAUGAAGAAGGCCUUCGGGUUGUAAAGUACUUUCAGCGGGGAGGCGUUACCAGCAGAAGAAGCACCGGCUAACUCCGUGACAGCAGCCGCGGUAAUAC
rnacentral:rRNA from 1 species